UACAGAGGUGGCAAGCGUUGUUCGGAAUUACUGGGCGUAAAGGGCGCGUAGGCGGUUGCCUAAGUCGGACGUGAAAUCCCCAAGCUUAACUUGGGAACUGCAUCCGAUACUGGGUAACUUGAGUUCGGGAGAGGAAUGUGGAAUUCCAGGUGUAGCGGUGAAAUGCGUAGAUAUCUGGAGGAACACCGGUGGCGAAGGCGGCAUUCUGGACCGAAACUGACGCUGAGGCGCGAAAGCCAGGGGAGCAAACGGG
rnacentral:rRNA from 1 species